GCAAGGGACAGUAGCACAUUGGAUGCACCCGCCAGGGAAGGGUUGAUUAUUGAAGUUAAGAAUAGUUGCGCGUGGUUGGUAUCCAAAUGGGUUACCACUUGGGCAAUCGUGUGUUGCUGGAG
rnacentral:rRNA from 1 species